rnacentral:rRNA from 1 species
GACGAACGCUGGCGGCGUGCUUAACACAUGCAAGUCGAACGGAAAGGCCCUGCUUUUGUGGGGUGCUCGAGUGGCGAACGGGUGAGUAACACGUGAGUAACCUGCACUUGACUUUGGGAUAACUUCAGGAAACUGGGGCUAAUACCGGAUAGGAGCUCCUGCUGCAUGGUGGGGGUUGGAAAGUUUCGGCGGUUGGGGAUGGACUCGCGGCUUAUCAGCUUGUUGGUGGGGUAGUGGCUUACCAAGGCUUUGACGGGUAGCCGGCCUGAGAGGGUGACCGGCCACAUUGGGACUAAGAUACGGCCCAGUCUCCUACGUGAGGCAGCAGUGGGGAAUAUUGCACAAUGGGCGGAAGCCUGAUGCAGCGACGCCGCGUGCGGGAUGACGUCCUUCGGGUUGUAAACCGCUUUCGCCUGUGACGAAGCGUGAGUGACGGUAAUGGGUAAAGAAGCACCGGCUAACUACGUG